GACGAACGCUGGCGGCGUGCUUAACACAUGCAAGUCGAACGGAAAGGCCCUGCUUGCAGGGUGCUCGAGUGGCGAACGGGUGAGUAACACGUGGGUGAUCUGCCCCUUACUUUGGGAUAAGCCUGGGAAACUGGGUCUAAUACUGGAUAGGACCAUGCUGUAGGUGGUGUGGUGGAAAGAUUAGUUUCGGUAAGGGAUGAGCUCGCGGCCCAUCAGCUUGUUGGUGGGGUAAUGGCCUACCAAGGCGUCGACGGGUAGCCGGCCUGAGAGGGUGGACGGCCACAUUGGGACUGAGAUACGGCACAGACUCCUACGGGAGGCAGCAGUGGGGAAUAUUGCACAAUGGGCGCAAGCCUGAUGCAGCGACGCCGCGUGGGGGAUGACGGCCUUCGGGUUGUAAACUCCUUUCAGCCAUGACGAAGCCCUUGUGGUGACGGUAGUGGUAGAAGAAGCACCGGCUAACUACGUG
rnacentral:rRNA from 1 species